rfam:Burkholderia sp. AD24 chromosome I sequence.
AUCCCUUCGCUAAGGAGUCUCUUAUGCGAAAACUCAUGGCCGCUAUGAUAGCCGGCCUGAUAGGGCUGACCGCGCUGUCCGUGUCGAUCACGGCUGUCGCAUGCAGUGACACGACGAGCUAUCAAUCUUCGAAUGAUGGCAAGUAGUCCUGCCGCCCGAAGGCGCCGAGUGCGCACAAAAAAAGGCCUUCAUCUGACGAUGAAGGCCUUUUACU